rnacentral:lncRNA from 1 species
CGGUCAUCCGUAAGGGAGGUCACCGGCCACAUUCCUCGGGCAGCUGACCCUGUCAGUCUUUGGAAAUACUGUUUACUCUGUAACUAAAGUUGGAUCCUGGGCACAAGUCACCAAAACGAAAUUUUAAGAGGCGUAAACCUCAUCCCCACUGAGACCUCUUCAUGAAAACAGGAGUUGUGAAGGUUCCCUAGAUGAUUUCUUGGUAAGAAUUCUCAGCAACUGUAGAGAUCUGGAGUCCAGAGUUGAAAAGUUUUACAAUAUAGCCAAUUAUCUAAUUUUUAGUGUACUGAUAAAAAUUCUUUAAGCUUCCUUAUGGACACAAAUGACAGAUGAGGAAAAGUUUACUGAAAAUGGAGUUUCUCUUCUGUUUGCUUCAACUGGAUUUUUUAAAGUAAGGUUGAAAGUCCUCCAGAAAUGAAAUGACAAUUGAUCCAGAGAAGUUCAAUAAUUUGACAAUGACUGGAGGCACAGGAGAUCACGUCACUGUGCUGGUGCAGACAGCUUCCCAGAUGGACCGCACCAUCUACUGUCAGGAGCUUGGAGAGAAGUGAACAGAAUUCUGUACAGCAACACACCAAAGCAGGCUGAACCUGAGAAGUGCUGAAUUCGGAGAGUAAAUGAUGUGCGUUGAGAGCCAAAGAAGGAGACCACUUUGGUUAGGACAUUGGAGGUGAUUCCUCGAAGACUGGAGCUGGGUCACCCUAGUCCUUGCUGGUAAAAGUGGUCUUUGAACAGCAACAUGGACCUCACGUGGGGACUUGUGAAAAAUUCAGAAUCUCAGAUGCCAGGCCAGACCUACAGAGUCAGAAUCGGCCAUUUUGACAAGACCCCCAGAUGAUUCCUGUGGGCAUUAAAGUUUGAGAACCACUGAUUUCACUACUUUUGGAAUUGAUAGAGCUACAUGGGCCUAUUUCUCUUCAUCCUGUUCACAGCACCAACUGUCUCACUGUUCACACCGUCCGCACCCGGGUAGGCAAGGCGUGAGCUAAGAGGCCGGAAGAAGACCCGAGGAGCUGGAGGAGCUGCAGACGCAUUUAUUCUCUUCCGGCUGACACAGCAGCCGUACCAGUAUUCUCUCCUGACUCACGCGGCCGCGGUCGCAUUCACUCACGCGGCCGCGGUCGCAUUCACGCUGUAGUCUCGCCUCUCAUGGCCAACCCGAGGGACACGGCCCUGAUGCAGCAGUAAUUCCCGCUGCUUUUUGGGUAGCGCUCUUAUCUCCCUACAGCCCAAAGUAACUCACGACAGUGCAGGGUUAUAAAUGAGCUCAGCUGUUAGUCAUUAUUUACAAAAUGUGGGGCAAGAGCGAAAAGCCAGGGGGCAGGAGAGCCCGACACGCCAUCUUGGCUAAUUUGCUCUUUCCUUACAAGGGGUAAUGUAAUGGAGGCCAGACUAUGAAAGGGUGCUUGAGGAGAGGCCGGUAGGCUUGGAGAAUUUACAGAGUACAUAGGAGGAUUUAUGUCUGCUACUAACAGUAGAAAUAAAAACUCCACGACCACUUACUAUGAGCCA